UCUCACAGACACAUACAGGUCUACAAACAGGUUCUCACAGACACAUACAGGUGUACAAACAGGUUCUCACAGACACAUACAGGUGUACACACAGGUUCUUACAGACACAUACAGGUGUACACACAGGUACUCACAGACACAUACAGGUGUACAAACAGGUUCUCACAGACACAUACAGGUGUACACACAGGUUCUCACAGACACAUACAGGUGUACACACAGGUACUCACAGACACAUACAGGUGUACAAACAGGUUCUCACAGACACACACAGGUGUACACACAGGUACUCACAGACACACACAGGUGUACAAACAGGUUCUCACAGACACACACAGGUGUACACACAGGUACUCACAGACACACACAGGUGUACAAACAGGUUCUCACAGACACACACAGGUGUACAAACAGGUUCUCACAGACACACACAGGUGUACAAACAGGUUCUCACAGACACAUACAGGUGUACACACAGGUUCUCACAGACACAUACAGGUGUACAAACAGGUUCUCACAGACACAUACAGGUGUACACACAGGUUCUCACAGACACAUACAGGUGUACACACAGGUACUCACAGACACACACAGGUGUACAAACAGGUUCUCACAGACACAUACAGGUGUACACACAGGUUCUCACAGAC